rnacentral:rRNA from 1 species
AGUUGACCUCGGAUCAGGUAGGAGUACCCGCUGAACUUAAGCAUAUUCAAUAAGCGGAGGAA